rnacentral:lncRNA from 1 species
GAUUUCCUUAUCGAACUAUGGGGCUACGUAGGCACAAGGGUUCGAAUCAUUGACGGGCACACUAAUUAUUUAACCUUUAUUUUCUUUUAGCAUUUGCAAGUAAUCUUUAGAUAGUAACAUCCAUUUGAGCAAAGAACAAUCAAAAUGGUUCCUGUUGAGUAUAACGGAUGUGAUGGGUGCUAAUACCUUCCCCUUGCAUAACCGAUUU